GUUCAUCUUCUUCCACUUAGUUUUGAAGUAGGAGUUAUGUUAGGGUAACUCAGAAACUCUCCUUCCAUGCUUGCGGAAACUCGUUUUUUCUCCAUCUCCUUAAGUAGUUGUCGUCUCGUGGUGCUCUAUUGUUGGAGCUCGUUUUGCUGAGUUGAUCUUUGUUCAGACGUGAAGAUUCUUGGGGUUUGUUUAUAUGGUGGUGAUGCUGUUGUCUAGUUUUGGGCGAGGUAGCUAAUGCUCUUUUGAGUACCUUUCUGUCGAACUAUUUUAUUUUUAGAUAAAACCAAAGGGAAAUAAAGGUGCUCUACAGGAGGAAGAUCAAACCAAAGGGAAAUCAAGGUGCUCUACAGGAGGAAGAUCAUUGUGCAUAUAGGAGUGCUAUAAUAUUAUCGUUAUGGCCA